rnacentral:rRNA from 1 species
CCUACGGGUGGCAGCAGUGGGGAAUAUUGCACAAUGGGCGCAAGCCUGAUGCAGCGACGCCGCGUGCGGGAUGGAGGCCUUCGGGUUGUAAACCGCUUUUGUUCAAGGGCAAGGCACGGUCUUUGGCCGUGUUGAGUGGAUUGUUCGAAUAAGCACCGGCUAACUACGUGCCAGCAGCCGCGGUAAUACGUAGGGUGCAAGCGUUAUCCGGAUUUAUUGGGCGUAAAGGGCUCGUAGGCGGUUCGUCGCGUCCGGUGUGAAAGUCCAUCGCUUAACGGGGGAUCCGCGCCGGGUACGGGCGGGCUUGAGUGCGGUAGGGGAGACUGGAAUUCCCGGUGUAACGGUGGAAUGUGUAGAUAUGUGGAAGAACACCGAUGGCGAAGGCAGCCUCCUGGGACGCAACUGACGCUCAUACACGAAAGCGUGGGGAGCAAACAGGAUUAGAUACCCGUGUAGUC